UGGCAUUAUUUGUUGGUCUGAGUUUAUAGACAGGCAAUUGCUUAUGACCCAUUGAACAGUUAAAGGCUGAUAGGUAACUCUCAUUGACUGUAAACUCAAUACUACCUGGGGUACAUAGAUCUAAAGCACGUAAUCUAAUGAAGUUGAGAAGGUUUGAAGGCUCAAAUUGAGAUGCCGAAAAAACACUAUGUUUUUCUUUUGAAAGAUUUUGAGCAGCAACUUGACUUUCUUUUGAAAAACAAGAACAGGUCAUCUUCUGUUUUACACGCCUACCAAUCUCACCUAAAGCCUUGGGCUACAUAGAUCUAAAGCACGUAAUCUAAUGAAGUUGAGAAGGUUUGCAGGCUCAAAUUGAGAUGCCGAAAAAACACUAUGUUUUUCUUUUGAAAGAUUUUGAGCAGCAACUUGACUUUCUUUUGAAAAACAAGAACAGGUCAUCUUCUGUUUUACACGCCUACCAAUCUCACCUAA
rnacentral:lncRNA from 1 species